GGGGGCGAAUUGGGUUCGACGGGGAGUGUGAGUCCUGCGCUGCGUGCCGAGGUCCCGGCUGGCUCGUUAAACAAGCCGGGGAAUCACAAUUGCCGACUUUGAGCCGGCACUAGCUGCAGCCUAAUGCAGCUCGUCCUCAGUGCCUGCGCCUGCCGGGGUGCUGAAGGACGCUGUUACGGUGGGCUAGCGGUUCGCACGCCCCGGGCGUUCCGCGAAACGAAUGGGGCUGGUCUGUCGGGGAUCGAGCUCACGAGAGCUCCGGCAGAUGAGAUCAAACCGUGAGAUACGCACGUAGACGCGCUUGAUGAUCCUCAUCCGGACGCGGGUUCGAUUCCCGCCGCCUCCAU
rnacentral:tmRNA from 1 species